rnacentral:lncRNA from 1 species
AGAUAUAUGAAAAAUGCAUGCAUGUGUAGUGGAUAUGGAUUUCGUAACCUUGGUACAGAAUAUGAGCAUGUUAGGAUGAGUUUUGAUUCAUAAAAGCCCAUGUGAGAUAUUUGAGCCAUGUCCCUUUUUCUUGGAGUGAUAAUUGAAAAAUAUAUUCUUAAUUUUUUGGCGAUAUUAAGUUUGAUGGACUAGAGAAUGCUAGAAUUCGCUCUUGUGCUUGUUGAGACGUUUGUCAAUACAUGGCCCUGAUUCUGGAAGGGAUAGAGGCAACCUAGGAAUUAUCACCAUUGCCAAAUAAGCAUGUGUCCCUAUUUGUGCCCGUCAUGGGACUCCCUUAGAUAAACCCCUUUGAGCUUACAUUAAGCCUUUUCUUUCAUCACCCUUAAAUCCUUAACCCUGAACCUUAGUAUAGCUACACUCCUACCCUUUGUUCUAAAAACUUAGUGGAGCUAUAUUUUGGGACUUUACUUGAGGAUUUGGCAUUGAGAACGAAGAUUGAGAAGAGGUGAAAGUUCAAGUGUGGGGGUAGACUUGUCCAUGAAAAAAAAAAUUUGUGAAAGCCGUGAAAAAUGAAAUGAAAAGAAAAAAAUUGUGUACGGCUAGAAAAGAAAAGAAAGAAAAAUGUUUAUGGAUUUUAGUCUCCCAUACUUAGUGAUUUUGGAGUUUACUUUGAACUGAAGGCCCACUACAGAAAAAUUUGGCCUUUGUCCAUUCCACUAUAGUUCUAGGGAAGUUUACAAUGAAGAUUUGGCCUAACAUGAAGACAUUAGGCCCUUUUAUGUUACCUCUAGGGAAAGUGACGUUUUUGCAAUGCCUUGGUGGAUUUCUUGAGGUCUCUACAUCUACAUGUGCUCUGCUAGGUUUUUAGGACACUUUGAUAAAUCCUUACCCUUCAUUUCUUAAAACCUUGAGCCUUGGCCCCAUUA